rnacentral:rRNA from 1 species
GAUGAACGCUGGCGGCGUGCCUAAUACAUGCAAGUCGAGCGAACAGACGAGGAGCUUGCUCCUCUGACGUUAGCGGCGGACGGGUGAGUAACACGUGGAUAACCUACCUAUAAGACUGGGAUAACUUCGGGAAACCGGAGCUAAUACCGGAUAAUAUAUUGAACCGCAUGGUUCAAUAGUGAAAGACGGUUUUGCUGUCACUUAUAGAUGGAUCCGCGCCGCAUUAGCUAGUUGGUAAGGUAACGGCUUACCAAGGCAACGAUGCGUAGCCGACCUGAGAGGUGGACGGGCCAAACGGAACUGGAGACACGUCCCAGCUCCUUAGGGAGGGCAGCGUAGGGAAACCUUCCGAAAUGGGCGAAGGCUGGAGGGGGCAAGGCGGCGGAGGGAAGAAGGUCUUCCGGUUCUAAAACCCUGUUAUUAGGGAAGAACAAAUGUGUAAGUAACUAUGCACGUCUUGACGGUACCUAAUCAGAAAGCCACGGCUAACUACGUG